ACUUGUGGUCGCCAGGGGUUUUUAGUUGCGAGGCCGCUCUCUUGUUCCGCGAUCUAUUGAGAGUGGCUUCACAGAGCCCCGGUAGCUGUCGGGGAGGGAGGGAAGAUGGCGGCUGUGGCGGCGGGCGGCCUGGUGGGGAAGGGGCGCGACAUCAGCCUAGCAGCCCUGCAGCGCCACGACCCCUAUAUCAACCGCAUCGUGGACGUGGCUAGCCAGGUGGCCCUGUACACUUUCGGCCAUCGGGCCAACGAGUGGGAGAAGACUGAUGUGGAAGGAACCUUAUUUGUGUAUACAAGGUCUGCUUCUCCAAAGCAUGGAUUCACCAUUAUGAAUAGGCUGAGCAUGGAAAAUAGAACAGAACCCAUUACUAAAGACCUGGAUUUCCAACUCCAGGACCCUUUCCUCCUCUACAGAAAUGCCAGAUUGUCCAUUUAUGGAAUUUGGUUUUACGAUAAGGAAGAAUGCCAAAGAAUUGCAGAGCUUAUGAAAAACCUAACUCAGUAUGAACAGUUGAAAGCCCAUCAGGGAGCUACAGCAGGAAUUUCCCCAGUGAUGCCCAAUUCUGGAGAGGGCAAAGAAGUAGAUAUCUUACGAAUGCUUACCAAAGCCAAAGAUGAAUACACAAAGUGUAAAACCUGUUCCGAGCCAAAACAGAUAACGAGUUCAUCUGCCAUCUAUGAUAACCCUAAUCUCAUCAAACCAAUCCCAGUAAAACCCAGUGACAACCAGCAGCAGCUCAUACCUCAGCCCAGCCAGACCUUAGACCCUGAACCCCAACACUUAUCCUUGACAGCUCUGUUUGGGAAGCAGGACAAAGCUAUCUGUCCAGAAACUGUAGCACUCCCCCACACUCCCCAGCAACAACAGCAGCAGCAGCAGCAGCAGCAACAGCAGCAGCAAGAGAAAUUUCCAGUUAGGCAGGGAGUUGUACGCUCCCUGUCCUAUGAGGAGCCCAGACCUCUCAUGGAGAAGCAGCUUUGUCCAGCCAUUCAAAAACUCAUGAUCAGAAACACGGACCUGCACCCACUGUCAGAGCUGCCUGAACAACGGCCCUGUGAGAAUGGAAACUCCUAUUCUGCCAGGGAAAUUAUUCCUGGACCUCUCCAGCCAGGGUCUCCCCAUAACAUCAGGACUUCACAUGCUGGGCACAGCACUUCCAGAACACAGAACCUGUUAGAGAAACUCCAGAGUACCCCAGGGGCAGCGAACAAGUAUGACCUUAGUACACCAGGCCCUGUGAGCCCAGCUGCCCCCAACAGCAGCAGAACCUUCUCUGCUGCCACUCCUGUGACUCCAGCCAAGGACCUGGCCCAGCCACAAUUGGUGUAUUUCAAUGGCUCCCUUCCACCUCAGAUGCUAGGACAUCAGGCUCAUGGAAAGGGACAGUCCACCCUGCCAAGACAAAUGCUCCCUGUCUCUGACAGUCAGACGAGCAGUCCUGGGGUGAUCUCCCCCCAGGAGUUACUGAGAAAGCUCCAGGUUGUACAACAGGAGCAGCAGCUACAGACCUCUCACCGUCCAGCCUUGGCAGCCAAGUUCCCUGUGGUGACCCAGAGCUCUAGGACAGGCAAACCCUUGGAGCCAUGGAUCAACAGGACAUCCAGCACAGAGAAGCAGGCUCCUCUUUUGCAGGUCAUCUCACCUCAGCGCACUCCUGCUACAGUGGCUCCUUCUCUGCUCAUGUCCCCCAUGGUGUUCACAAAAGCCUCCAGCACCCCACCGAGGGAGAGGGAUAAUGGGCUCUUGCUCCUGGGAGGCCAGGAAUCACCUGCUGCCCCCACCAGCCUCCUCCUGCCCCUGCAGAACCCGGAGCCCUCUGUGGUAGCCGGCAGCCCACUCACCAGGCUGCAGCUCCAAGAAGCACUGCUAUAUCUGGUUCAGAAUGAUGACAACUUCUUAAAUAUAAUCUAUGAAGCCUAUCUCUUCAGCAUGACACAAGCAGCCCUGAAAAAGACUAUGUGAAAGCAAAUCAUUUUAAAACUGAUUUCCAAGGUCCUUCUAGAAUUCCAGCACAAGGUUCUUUUGUGUGAAGUGGUAUAAACUAAAAUGUUUCUGCCUUUUUUAAAAAACAGGAUUCUGCUUUCUUCUCUUGAAUGAUAAAGAUGCAAAUCAGAGAAGAAAGAAAUCCCCCUAAAGAAAUCUCAGCUAUUGAAUACACCAGCUCUCUUCCAUUCUCUUGGGUGUUAAAGAGAAAACCAACAGUUCC